ensembl:lncRNA
ACGAUCAGCCUUACCAUAUGCUUGCAGAAUCCUAGCAGUAACAUCGUCUCUGUUCCCUUCGGCAUGGAGAAGAGCCGCAAUGGAGACAAUGAAAUAAUCGCACGCCGAAACUUUGAGUUAAACGGUCCAGUUCUGGAGGACAGUUCUGACGAAGCUCCAUAGUACCUGUGAUCCUAACCUCUGGCCUGUUAUGUCUCAUGUGGAACCUUUCUACAUGCAGACGCCAUCAAAAGUCCAAAUACAUUUCCACUCGGUGAGGCCUAGUACAGCUCUUCCAACAGCCUAAGCGUUUCACUACCUUGCAGUGGUAUGGUUCCGACACGGGUAAAACGUGCAUUUCCACAAUCGGCAGACGCAAGUGGAUCCGGCCAAAAAAAUUGACCAGAUGCUCAGAAAGAUGGGAUCGGCAGACGUGUGGGUUUCCGGAGGCCUUCUUCUGUGCCGAAAACGUUCAGCGCCUGCCCCUGAUGGACGUCUGCGCGCUGACUGACUGUGGAGCAGGGGAGAAUCUGU